GACGAACCGUACGAACGUUAUUCGGAUUCACUGGGCUUAAAGGGUGCGUAGGCGGCUCAGAAAGUAGGGUGUGAAAGCCCUCGGCUCAACCGAGGAAUUGCGCCCUAAACUACUGGGCUUGAGGGACGCAGAGGUAAGCGGAACUAAGGGUGGAGCGGUGAAAUGCGUUGAUAUCCUUAGGAACACCAGGAGCGAAAGCGGCUUACUGGGCGUCUUCUGACGCUGAUGCACGAAAGCUAGGGGAG
rnacentral:rRNA from 1 species